GAUCCUGGCUCAGAACGAACGCUGGCGGCGCGCCUAACACAUGCAAGUCGAACGAGCGAGAGAGAGCUUGCUUUCUCGAGCGAGUGGCGAACGGGUGAGUAACGCGUGAGGAACCUGCCUCAAAGAGGGGGACAACAGUUGGAAACGACUGCUAAUACCGCAUAAGCCCACGACCCGGCACCGGGUAGAGGGAAAAGGAGCAAUCCGCUUUGAGAUGGCCUCGCGUCCGAUUAGCUAGUUGGUG
rnacentral:rRNA from 1 species